rnacentral:rRNA from 1 species
AUUGAACGCUGGCGGCAGGCUUAACACAUGCAAGUCGAACGAGCGGCGGACGGGUGAGUAAUGCUUGGGAAUCUAGCUGAUGGAGGGGGAUAACUACGGGAACCUGUAGCUAAUACCGCAUACCAUAGGAUGUGCCCAAGUGGGAUUAGCUAGUUGGUGAGGUAAUGGCUCACCUAGCCGACGAUCUCUAGCUGGUCUGAGAGGAUGACCAGCCACACUGGGACUGAGACACGGCCCAGACUCCUACGGGAGGCAGCAGUGGGGAAUAUUGCACAAUGGGCGCAAGCCUGAUGCAGCCAUGCCGCGUGUAUGAAGAAGGCCUUCGGGUUGUAAAGUACUUUCAGUCGGGAGGCGUUACCGACAGAAGAAGCACCGGCUAACUCCGUGCCAGCAGCCGCGGUAAUAC